rnacentral:rRNA from 1 species
GGUCGGGGACACCACUGGAAACGGUGGCUAAUACCGGAUGUGCCGAAAGGUGAAAGAUUUAUUGCCUAGAGAUGAGCUCGCGUCUGAUUAGCUAGUUGGUGUGGUAAGAGCGCACCAAGGCGACGAUCAGUAGCUGGUCUGAGAGGAUGAUCAGCCACACUGGGACUGAGACACGGCCCAGACUCCUACGGGAGGCAGCAGUGGGGAAUUUUCCGCAAUGGGCGAAAGCCUGACGGAGCAAUACCGCGUGAGGGAGGAAGGCUCUUGGGUUGUAAACCUCUUUUCUCAGGGAAUAAGAAAGUGAAGGUACCUGAGGAAUAAGCAUCGGCUAACUCCGUGCCAGCAGCCGCGGUAAUACGGAGGAUGCAAGCGUUAUCCGGAAUGAUUGGGCGUAAAGCGUCCGCAGGUGGCACUGUAAGUCUGCUGUUAAAGAGCAAGGCUCAACCUUGUAAAGGCAGUGGAAACUACAGAGCUAGAGUACGUUCGGGGCAGAGGGAAUUCCUGGUGUAACGGUGAAAUGCGUAGAGAUCAGGAAGAACACCGGUGGCGAAAGC